AUUAAGUGAUGAGGAACCAGAUAGGGACAACUGAUUCGUUUAAGUGACGAGAAAAGUCUUUAGCCCAGUUUUAGUAGAACUUUUGGGCAUUUCCUGAUU
rnacentral:snoRNA from 1 species